GGAAAAAAGGUGCAUGUUUUGUUUACUUGCUCUAUUGAAUACAGAUUGCCCCGUCUACAAUUUGAUCGAUUAUUAACGUUUAAAAAUACCUAAAGUUGUAUUACAAAAGUAGUUUGAAAUAUUUUGGCAAACUUUAUAGGCAACUUUUGAAAUGUUUUGUAGUGAUGUUGUGUUGUGGAAAGCUGUUUUUUUCCGGAUCAAACCUGCUUUAUAAAUUGACAUUUUGGGUAUACAUGGACGGAAUUAAUUUUUAAAAAGGACCAAUUGUGAUGUUUAUGGGACAUAUUGGAGUGCCAACAAAGAAGCUCGUCAAAGAUGAUGUGUCUCCUCCUGAGCAACUUACGACCCCCACUGGAAAGCUCCGCAGGCAGAAUUAAUCAUCCUGUUCGUUGAAGCCAAAUUGUCAUGGAAAUUCUUACACAGGGAGACAAGAG
ensembl:lncRNA